GUGUUCAUUUUGGCAGCACAUAUACUAAAACUGGAACGAUACAGAGAAGAUUAGCAUUACCCCUGCACAAGGAUAACACGCAAAUUCAUGAAGCGUUCUAUAUUUUU